CCCAGGCUCAAGCAAUCCUCCCACCUCAGCCUCCCGUGCGGCUGGGACCACAGUCAUGUGUCACCAUGCCUGACUAAUUUUUUUUUUUUUUGUAGACAUGGGGCUUCACCAUGUUGCCCAGGGCUGUUCUCGACCUCCUGGAUUCAAGCAAUCCUUCCACCUCGGCCUCCCAAAGUGCUGGGAUUACAGGCAUGAGCCACCUCGCCACUGGCUGGACUCCUCCGAUUGACUUCUAUUCACCAGAAUGUUGAUGGCUCUGGUUCUCACCCUGUUGUUGUUUGCAUGGGAAUAUUCCCUAGAAAAGAGAUAAGGCCUCUCUCCUGCCUUUCUUCCACCCAGAUUAAGACUGUGAGAUGAAGACAGAAACAGCAUCCGCUGAGGCACCUUCUCUUCUGUCCCACUAGGAUAUAACCUCCGCCGGAGGGGACUGUCCUAGACUCUGAGGGGAAGAUUAUCAACUGCACAGGACUUUAUCAGGGAGAAUUCUUGGGGUCAACACUGCAGGAGGCAGACGAAGAAGCAGGACUGGGCAGAGGGAGACAUUGGGCUGUGAUGUCAUCACCACAGAUGCCACAGCUCAGCCUACAGGGAGUUCUGAAGAUAGGAUCACCCUUCAGAACUGUCUAGAUUUGGCUAGAGAGCCAGACCUUUGGAUCCCUUGGUGACCAAUAAUUGGAUGUAGAAAGAGGGAGUGAUGCUGAACAAGACCCAGUGUGUCUUCAAAUAGGCUUACUCCUGGGAGGAACAAAUGAUUCGUGCAUCUGGGCAGGCCUCAAGGAAAUAGAGAUGGCAGAGGGGCGAGAGUCCUGCAGGAGUCCUCUGCGAAGCAGUGAGCAAGGGGAGGUUGAGAGAGAGGCCUGGGAGCCAGUGGACAUCUCUUUCUUUCUAGGUGGGAAUGUAAGGAGUGAGGGAGGAAAAUGCUUCUUGACAUCUACCUUGUAGAUCUGAAGUGAGUAUUAAAUGCUGUCAAGUGAGUAUCACAGUACCUGACAGAGGAAAUGCUUAUGAAAACAUGAGUUAUGAUUUUAUAAUUAUCAUUACAGUUGGCUAAGCAAAGCCAGCCAGUGUCUCUCUCAGUUGACUUUGCAAAUCUCUGUUCUAAUCCACUUCAAAAUGAUUUAAAAUUAAGAUACAGGCCAUCUGAUUUUUAAAAAUGUUCAGUUCUUAUAGUGCAUUUCAUUAUAAUAGUGGGUCUAUUAUAUACUUCAUUCUUAAUUUUUUGGCCAGAAUUUCAAGAACAAAAAUGCUAGGGUGAGCUUUUUUCCCUUUCUUUCUUUCCUUCUUUUGUAUGUUGAUUUCUGAUUUUAAUAAAAUUGCUUCUUGUGUUUUAUCAGUAACAAUGUUGAUUGAGUUUAAGAUAGAUUUUUAAAAUUACUGGCUUCUAAAGAAGUUUCUAAAAAUCAGAGUGGAUGUUAAAUAUCAGAUAACUUCUGGAAAUCUUUGGAUAUUAUUAUAUAAUUUAAAAAUUUGACCAACAGUUGUGAUUUAUUACAGGUUGAACAUCUCUACUGAAAUGCCUCUUACCAGAAAUGUUCUGGAAUUUUUAUUUUUGGGGGUUUUGAAAGAUUUGUGUUAUAGAUGAGCACCCUAAUCUGAAAGUCUAAACUCUGAUAUUCUCCAGUGAGCAUUCCCUUUGAGUGCCGUGUUGGGUCAAAAAGUUUCAGAUUUUGGAGCAUUUUGAAUUUUGGAUUUUCAAAUUGGGGAUUCUCAACGUGUAACAGGUCUCUUCUUGUUUAAUUAUCCCGUAUCCUUUGGGUAAAUCUCAUUUGACUAUGGAAAAUAUAUUUUAAACAUGCUAAUAAAUUUAAAUGGCCAAUUCUUUUUGUAAAAUUUAUGAGUAGGAUUCAUAAAUGAGACUAAUUUUAUUUUCUGGUCUGCUAUCUUUGUUAACAUUUUAAAAUUAAGAUUAUACUAAUUUUGCUCAAUAAAUUGGGAAGCUUUUCAUGGUUAUAUAUACUCUGAAACUUUUUAUUUAGGAGUAAUAUCUGUUCUUUGAAUCUUUAAAAAGUUCACCAUCUGAGCUGGGAUACUUCUUUUCACAUAAAAUGAUUUGAUAAUGUUUGUAAUUUUUUUAACCAUAGUCACUGAUUUUUGGUUGGUUUUGGAACUUUGUUUGUUUUAGGGAAAUUACUCCAGAUUAUCUGGGUGGCCCCAGUGUAAUCAGGAGAGAGCCCUGCCUCUUAGUUGACACCUCGAUUUUGGACUUCCAGCCUCCAGAACUGUGAGAGAAUAAUACAUUUCCGUAGUUUUAAGCUAUUUGGACUCUGAUACUUUGUUACAGCAACCCUGGGAAACUAAUAUAAUCAGCCAUCUCCUUAAAUGCCAAGCAACAAGUGCCUUUAUUGAGAGACACCCUGUAGUCUCAGCUACUAGGGAGGCUGAAGUGGGAGGACUGCUUGAGCCCAAGAGUUUGAGGCUGCAGCGAGCUAUGCUUGCACCACUGUACUCCAGCCUGGGUGACAGAACGAGACCUUAUCUCUGUCUUAAAAAAAAAACUAUCUUGUUUUGUAAAAAUUAAGUCUCCAUAAGAAGCGAAUAUACUAUUGAUAACUCUUACAUAAUAUUGCUCUGGAACAUGACAUUUUCCUAUUAAAACCAUUUGUGACUAAUAG
rnacentral:lncRNA from 1 species